rnacentral:rRNA from 1 species
CUUUUUUUUAACAGCCCCUUGGCAGGUCGUGGAAUGGUUUUGUUCUCCUCUUAUUCCAUAUGGAAUACAAUCAGUUAAAAUAAGAAGGAAUAGGGGAAUAUUCGAUCGUUCACUCCAAAAAGAGGGUCGUAUUGAAAAAGAAAUUAUCCAAAAUAGAAAGAAGUUUUUUUUUCAAUUCAAUUGUUUAUUUAUCUCUUAUUCAAAAAUUUCCUUGAAAAUCGAAUUUCAUUUUUUCAUUCAAUGGGGUUAGAUGAUCUAGUUCUUAAUAUUAUUACUUUACUCAAUUGACAAAUUCCACAACAAAUCUCUUGAUUCGGAAUUAGGGACUCAUGUAUCAUCUGAUGAAUCCACUUUCUUUUACACUUCU